AUGACCCUGUGGCUCCUGGGGCCAGUCUUCUGGGAGAGCCAGAGAGGACAAAGCAGUACCAACUCGGGUGGAGUUUCCUGUGGUGAUGAUCCCUUUGCCUCAUCUAUAAAAAGCUCUGGUAUGAUCUACCCCAUUUAUGGUGGAGGCCGGGAUGGCGGAGUGUGCGGGAGGAGGAAAAAUCAAGCUGAAACAGCUCCUCUUUGCCUCCCUGGAUUCUCUUCCAAAAUGCUGUCAGCACUGCCAGUUGGAAAAUAUUUUUCUCCCUCCCUUUGUCUUCUUUCUUAUUUAAAAAAAAAAAAAAAAAAAGCCAUCUGGUGUCAAAUUCACUCCUGGCACAUCAUAAAGGGUAGCACUAAAAAUGUCCCUGAAAAACUAAAAGCAAAACCGCAGCAGUACACGCGGGAUGGAAUCUCAGCAGCCCAGAAUUUCCGAGCUGGUGGUCCCCGCCGGCCACCACCCCGUCUGGCGCUCUGCGCGGGGUGAGCGUGCAAACUUGGAGUUGCUGCUCCAGUUCUGAGGAUUCUGUGACGCGGAGAGAGGAGGGUGUGCAGGACCACAGAAGAAAGAUCUAACCCAGUUCUUGGCCUGAAUGUAAAUAUUUACAAUCCUAUUAAUACUGGCGCUUUAAAUACCCGCUCCUGCCCAUUGAGCACCAGCGGCUAUCUCUGGGGCAGAGCUGGUUUCUCACCAUUUCCCCUAUUUUAGGAACUCGAGAGCCCAGGCACCUAGUGCCACGAGGAGUCAGAAGUCCCUCCGGAGCUAGCCCAACUGAGCACCCUCCCCGGAGCCACCUGGGGCUGCUGACCUCACAAGUCAGGCAGAGCCCUUCCUGCACCCUGACCGGACCAGGAACAGGCCCGGCUUCCCCUGCUCCUGUGCUGGAGCCUGGAGGGUGGAGUGGGAUUAGAUAAAAUUAAGCUCCCAACCCACUGAAAUAGAAGGUCCGGCUGGGAUUUGGCCAUUUUGUUUACGGGCAUAUCCCUGGCCCUGAGAACAAUGCUUGGCGCAUAGUAGCUGCUCAGUAAAUAUUUGAGCGGCUGAAUGACUAUAAUAAAAGUCUUCAGAUUCUUAAGAAUUAAACACAUAUCCUCUCUUCUUGCUCCUUUACCCUCCAUAUAAAUUCAUGCUUUUUUUUCUCUUCCUGCCUCUUAAAUCUCGAGCUUCGGUUUUAAAGACCUUGUGUGUUGUGUUUUAUUUUAGCUUAUCUGGAAUAAUUUUAGACUUGCAGCAAAGUUGCAAAGAUAGCAUAAAGACUUCUCAUGUACUCUUCAUGCAGCUUCCCCCACAGUUAAUACGUGAGGUCACCAUGGUGCAUUUGCCACAAUGAAGAAAUUAGCAUUGGUACAUUACCAUUAACCAGACAACGUACUUUACUUGGAUUUUCGUGUUUUUCCACUCAUCUCCUUUUUCUGUUCCAAGAUCCAAUCCGGGAAUAGCUCCUUGAAUUUUAGACUGGAAGACUUUUUUUUGGAAGAUUUUUAAUAUGUAAUCCAGAUCUUACCGUGUAGGGUCUCUCUCCUUGGCACUGACCCAGGGGACAGAGUCCCUGGCACUAGGCUGAGCUUCCUGUCCUGGGGGCCUAGGAAACACCUUGAGCCCUGGAUUUCCUGAGAGCGAUAUUAAGGGAUUCCUCCUGGGUCUGCUUGCCGUCUCUGGUAGCAUCUGGUACAAAUCUGGACCCUGAGGGCUGCCCUGGGUCUUCCUCCCUCCCCCCACACCCCCACCACGCACAUCCCAGAAAGAAGAUGUACAUGCUGCUCCCCGUGACCUGCCCCAGGUCUCCAUUUCCUUUAGGACCUGACCCUUCCCUGUGUCCCUCAUUACUUGGCAUCCAUUCCUCCGUCUCAUGAGGGACAGACCCCAUUCACUUCUCCCAGCCUCACUCUCCUUUUCCUCCAUCCUGGAAUCAUCUUCUAGCCUGAAGUCCUCAGAGAAGCAACUUCUGGUUUGGACUAUGUUACUUGCUCACAGCUCACCAUCGAGCUAGCCUUGGGAUUGGAGAUGAGUGGAAUGAGGGACACUCCAUUUAUUCAGUUGGCAGGAAUUAUUGAGCCUGGCUGAUUCACAAAGAUGAAUAGUUCUGAUCCUUGCUCUCCAAGAUCUUACAGUCUGGAGGAAGAGACAGGUAAUGCGAACGAAUAAUUGGGAGACAUGCCUUUAUAGAGAUAAUAUGUGUACACACUUUGGGGCAGCACUUAGGGGUAGAGCCCGGGCCCUUGGAUUGUGCUGGAACACUGGGGCAGCUCCUGAGGUCAUGCUUGAGUUGGGGCUUGAAAGAUGGAUAGGAAGUGGUAGGUGCCCAGGAAAGGGCAGGGGGAGAAGAGAAGACACUCCCAGCAGGUGUACCUUGAGAGCAGAGCAUUUUUGGGAAUCUGCAGAGUCACCCAGUGUGGCUGGAACAAUGGGGGUGUGAAGGAGAUGACAGGAGAGAGACAGGCUGGAUAAAUAGAACAAUCAGGUCUUAGGUUCCAGAGUUAGGAGUUUAAACUUCAUUCAGCGGGUGGUGAGGGCUAUGAGCCCAUUUAGUUCUUAGGUCACUUGGGCAGCUCUUUGGAGCCGGGACUCCAGGCGAGAAGUAAUGGGGUCUGAAACAGGGUAGUGGAUUUGGCCAGAGGGACAGACGCCAGAGAAAGUCAGAGGCGGGGCUCAGUGGAUAGUGGAGUGGGGUAAGGGGAAGGGGAGUUAGGGUGACUUUGGAGUUCUGGUUUGCAGGAUGCAGACGAGAGGGACUGGGGCAGGGGAGCGGAAUGAGCUGGAGUUGUUUUUGCCCCCCACACGUGAGCACCCUUAGCAGAGGAGAGGAUGGGUAUAGUGCAUGUGACAGGGCUGGGCCCCAACCUCCUGGCCUGGAGGAGGACUGUCUCAGGGCAGGGGGACAGUUGCUGGAACAGGCCAACUGAGGCUUGUAGCUCUAGGGGGAGCUGACCCGGGAGACCUUGGUGGGAAAGUGGAGGAUGAGGAGGAGAGGAGAUGGAGUGGGGAAAGAGAAGGGGUGCCGUUUGGUUCAGGGAACUAAGGAGAAGGUCACCACGUCACUGCAGAUGCGGAAGCCAGAGGAGGUCUCAGCACCCUCCUCUAACCUGGGGACAGACUAGAUGGGGGCCAGGCAGUCUGUGGGGCCCAGAGCGAACACUCAGAGCUGAGGAGGUGAGGAGGUGCUGCAGCUCCCCUGUCUUUGGGCAUUUCAGGACCUGCUGGAAUUCUGGAAGGGGCUGAAGUUCACCCCGAGACUGCUUCUUCCGGUUGUGGGAGGGGCAGGGGCACCUGAAAACACUCAUGUGGACAGUUCAGGUGGUUAGGAAGGGAUGUAUGGCAGAUUUUUAGUCACUAUCGCCACAGAAACCCCGAUUCUUAGCUGGACCCUGUCAAGAAUUAUGAAUGUCUGUGAUAUUAUCCUAGUCAUAAGCUGACGAGUUAGCCCAUGUCGUAGCUGCUGGCAGGAGCCGAGGCUCCUGAGUCCGAGACUAGGGACAUUUUGUUGUUCACAGCAAGGCAGUGGAACCGUGGCAGCCUCGGUCCUCACAGGGCUUCACAGAUGCCUGGACGCAUGUGGGUUGCGUUUCAGGAGAUGGACUCAAACUUGGGGAAACCAAAUCUUUUAUAAUGGGCGGUAUGCCUGCCCCUUGCUGUGGAGGGCGGCACGGAAUACCUUCCAUGGAAGUUCGCCAUCCUGGAAAUGAAAUCUGGAAGAAAGGACAGUCAGUGGUUCACUUGUGAGACAUGAAGGAGUGGACUAGAACCGUGGGGAAUUGUCUGCCUCCAGACGCAUGGCCCUAGACAACCAGCAGUAUGCUUCCAGGCUCCCUUGCAGCUACGUGAAACCGUCGAACUAAGUCGUGGUCUCCUGAGUGUGCGCUUUUGCGUGGCCUCUUCUGGGAAAUUGCAAAAGCUGGCUGGCAUGGCCCUGGGUUCCCUCCUCCCACCUUCUUCUGUCCUGGUGGCUGCCUUGGGGACAGGGUGUUGGGGCGGGAGCGCCAUGUGGGGCCAGGAGGGGCGGGUGAGGGCCAGGGAGGCCGGGCCCCGGGACGCAGAGGCCUGGGUCUCUGACGGUGGUGGAGCUUACAGAUUACGGUGCUGAUGAUCUUCAGGCUGCUUCACGUGAGGGGAAAAUAAACCCCAUCCUCUGUCAAGUGUUGCUGUUGUUGUUGUUGUUUGCUUCAUGCAGCCGAAUUGGAUGCUGCAGGAGGAGGACGCAUGGGGGUUAAAUCUGUCAGCGGAGAGAAGGGUGAGGGGCACUCUUCCCGGCCCCCUCACUCAGCCUCGGCGGUGACGGGGGAGGGGUGGGGAGUCGCCUCUGGCUUGUUCGCCACCCAGUGGUGUCGCCCCAUUCACAGGGGGGCCCGGGCGGCCACGCGACCCAGCAGCGCCCACUUGAAGACCGCAAGCAACAAGCUGACUCCAUUCACAAACCCUGUCCUCCUUUGAAAACCAAUCACCGUGCAAAGCGUGACGGGGUGGUGGCCAGCGGCGGCCCAUCUGUCACGCCCUUUCAGCGGCCAGGCGCAGGCGGCCCUUGCCUUUGUACCCGGGACACGCACCGUAAGGAGAUCACAGCGCCUCCUGAAUUAUUCAGGGCUGCCCGGGUGUUGGUUCUAUUAUACACGUGCAGAUCGCUCCAGCCUUCCGACCUCCAGCCCUGCGGCCCCGUGUCCUUCCAGGCUUUUCCACUGGCUGCUUUGGGCCUGUGGCUGCAGACCCCCAGGCCCAGGUGCCCUAAUUUGCCUUGGCCUGCUUCCUACCUGCCCCUGGGCGCCAAGGCCGCCCUGCAGGCCCCGGUCUCUGCCCGGCGACUGUCCUCCCCGCCACCCCAGCAGCCCGGCCUCCUCCCUGUCUCUUCGGGCCUCUCCGCCGGCCGGUGACAUCACUCUCCCGAGUGCCUGCCCUCUGGGGACAUGGCAGCGGCGGGAGCCUGGCUUCUGCGGGCCUCCCUCGAGGCCUGGUGCUCGUGGGCCUUACGGUCUCCCCGCCAGCGCCCUGGUCCGGCCCCAGGCCGGCCUCUCCCCCUCCCCUGGGCUCCCAGGCGCCCAGCUCUCCCCGGAGCGGGCCCAGAGAGUCCCCCCAACUGGUAAUGAGGCAGAGAUGGUAAUGCACAGUUAAGAGUAAUGAAAUGCAGUGAUAUUUCAGGCCUGACAGACCUAUUUCUGGCAGCCUUAGAAUUAAAGUGUGAGGCUUUGUACUGCAGCUGCUACUAGGAGCCUUCAGAGUUUUUCUAAAGAUGUGAAUAAAGCUUCCAGGGUUUCGGCUCAGAUCACUGGGGCUAUUUAUCCUGCUGCUGCUUUCAUUGUACCUUUUUAUU
rnacentral:lncRNA from 1 species